UUUCCCUCAGGAUAGCUGGCACUCGCUUGAGCGAGUCUCAUCUGGUAAAGCGAAUGAUUAGAGGCCUUGGGGCCGAAACGACCUCAACCUAUUCUCAAACUUUAAAUGGGUGAGAUCUCUGGCUUGCUUGAACGUUGAAGCCACGAGAUAUGUACACUUGCGUGUUACAAUGGAUCAGAGUGCCAAGUGGGCCAAUUUUGGUA
rnacentral:rRNA from 1 species